rnacentral:lncRNA from 1 species
CAGUUGGACAUGAACAGCUUACAAUCAUUCCAUACACCAAAUAUAGUAGACCUAUUUUUUACAUAAAUAAGGCCGUUAGUUUUCUCGUUUGAAUUGUUUUACAUUGUCUUAUCGGGGCCUUUUAUAGCUGACUAUGCGGUAUGGGCUUUACUCAUUGUUGAAGGUCGUACGUGACCUAUAGUUAUUAAUGUCUGUGUAAUUUUGGUCUUUUGUGGAUAGUUGUCUCAUUGGCAAUAAUACCACAUCUUCAUUUUUAUACUAUUGCUUAUAUUAUCUG